UACAGGAGGCAGAGGCUACACCAGAACAGGGCUGGGUCUGUGCAGUGGGGGCGUCUAUACCCCCUGGAGAGGGGAGCAAGAUACAGAAGGACCAUUGUUCCUUUUUCUGGCUUCAUUUCUCAAGCUGUGAGGCUGAGGCUGACCCACAGGCCCCAGGCAGGACCCUGUGACCCACUUUGGAACCCUGCCUUUGUCUGUAUGCAACCCUCUCAGAGGCACAGCCACAAACCCACUGAGCAUGUUGGUGAGCUCCGGGGCUGCAAACGCUCCUCUGGUGGCAGCAAACCAGAGAGGUGGACCUGAAGGCCUCCCCGGAGGGGUGAACAGCUCACGGGCCGCGGUCCUCACCCAAGUUCACGGCAGACGUCACCAAUCAAACCACCCCACGCUUUACUGCUGGGACUGUCCUCAUUUCAGAAUCUCUCCUGGCCCAGCUUAGACUGCAGCCAGCAAAUGCCCCACAUUGCUGAUGCAGGAGGUGCUUCUCAGGCAGCCGGCAAAGGGCGGGGCCCCAGGUUGAAGACCACAGUGUGCCGCCCCCUACUGGGAAUCCUGGGCAAGUCACAGCCUCUCCCGUUCCCUCAAAGCUGACCCAGGCUGGUGUCCCCCUGAGCCCAGGGCAGGCUUCCUGCUGGGUGCUUCUCCAGGCUCCUUCAACUGGCACCCCGGCCCUGUGGCCCACCAGCCCUCACCAGCUCCUUCCCGGGUCCACACCAAGGCCAUCCUGUAGGACCUGGAGAAUAACCGACGUCCAUUUCCCACCUGGCAUUUCCAUGAAGAAAAGUAAGGGGAGUGCUGGCGGUGGGGGGGAAUGGCUGGAGGCGGCUUCCCUGUGGGUGCAGGAGGCAGGCAGAGUGCCCAGGCCUCACUGGGGGGCUGCUGGCACACCCGCCUGUGAAGGAAGUGCCUUCAGCAGAGCCGAAGCCGGCCCCCGGUGUGACAGAGAACAGAGGGGCAGCCUCCAGGGCCCUGGGCUGGCAUGGUGCGGGCGCUCCGCCCAGAGCCUGGGGACUCAGCCCAUGUGACACAGCUGUCCAUAGUGACAGCAGGGGGUGCCCUUCUCACCUGCAGACCAAGGGCUGCAGGCA